rnacentral:rRNA from 1 species
UAGGGAAUCUUCCGCAAUGGACGCAAGUCUGACGGAGCAACGCCGCGUGAGUGAAGAAGGAUUUCGGUUCGUAAAACUCAGUUUUUAGAGAAGAACAGCGCAUAGAGUAACUGUUAUGCGUGUGACGGUAUCUAACCAGAAAGCCACGGCUAACUACGUGCCAGCAGCCGCGGUAAUACGUAGGUGGCAAGCGUUGUCCGGAUUUAUUGGGCGUAAAGCGAGCGCAGGCGGUCAAUUAAGUCUGAUGUGAAAGCCCCCGGCUCAACCGGGGAGGGUCAGUGGAAACUGGUUGACUUGAGUGCAGAAGAGGAGAGUGGAAUUCCAGGUGUAGCGGUGAAAUGCGUAGUUAUAUGGAGGAACACCAGUGGCGAAGGCGACUCUCUGGUCUGUAACUGACGCUGAGGCUCGAAAGCGUGGGUAGCAAACAGG